rnacentral:rRNA from 1 species
GCCGGCAGCUAGCUCUCUGCAACUCUUACAUGGUCGCCCACUGAAGCUAAGUAGGGCUGUGCCCGGUCAGUAUCUGAAUGGGAGACCACAUUGGAAAGCUAGGUUGCUGCCGGAA